AUUGAACGCUGGCGGCAGGCCUAACACAUGCAAGUCGAACGAGUGGCGGACGGGUGAGUAAUGUCUGGGAAACUGCCUGAUGGAGGGGGAUAACUACUGGAAACGGUAGCUAAUACCGCAUACCAUCGGAUGUGCCCAGAUGGGAUUAGCUAGUAGGUGGGGUAAAGGCUCACCUAGGCGACGAUCCCUAGCUGGUCUGAGAGGAUGACCAGCAAAACGGGAACUGAGACACGGUCCAGACUCCGACGGGAGGAAGAAGUGGGGAAUAGUGGACAAUGGGCGAAAGCCUGAUGCAGCAAUGCGGCGGGUAUGAAGAAGGGCUUCGGGUUGUAAAGUACUUUCAGCGGGGAGGCGUUACCCGAAGAAGAAGCACCGGCUAACUCCGUGCCAGCAGCCGCGGUAAUUC
rnacentral:rRNA from 1 species